rnacentral:tRNA from 1 species
GUCUACGUAGCUUAAACCACCCAAAGCAAGACACUGAAAAUGCCUAGAUGGACUCACAUAUCCCAUAGACA